rnacentral:misc_RNA from 1 species
UGCUCUGGCAGCGACGACAUCCCCAACUCGCCUCUUCAAUCGUCGGCACGAGCGCUCUCUUGCCUCGACCGAUGUCGGUUUCCCGUGCUGGAUACCUGAUGCAAAGGCAUUGCAUUCGGCUAAGUUGUCCCUAUUCCGUCCCGUAUCCAUGUGCCUCACGGCUCGUGAGAUGCGGACGGACCUCGGAGCAUCCUCCGUGGCGUCCCGAUCCGUGCGCUCCCGAAUGGGUUCCCGGCUCGACGAUCCAUGGUGGCCUGCUCGAUCUCUCGGAUGCGGAACACCCGUGGGUAUGAGGCGAUGUCCUCCUAAUGUCCCGAAAAAAUAGGCUUCUUGCGAACGACGGUCGUCACGGUCUCGCUCCCCUGCCCCCGUGGCAUCGGUCGUGCUGGGACGACGUCGGUGAGGAAUGCUACCUGGUUGAUCCU